AAUUGAAUUAUAUUUUAUAUAUAUCACAAAGUACUUCAAUAUCUUGUUCUAUUUGCUUACACAAGUCCAUACACAAGUCUUAAAAGAAAAAUGAUGAUUUUUUUUUUCAUGUAAAAGAUACAAUCCAAACUCAUACGAACCACUAGACAAACUUGAAAUUUAAUAAAAUUUAAGCUAGACCAAUUUAGAGUUUGACCAUCUUAUCCGGAGCUAGAG
rnacentral:lncRNA from 1 species